rnacentral:lncRNA from 1 species
AUUUCUUUUUAUGCCUUAUUUAUAGUUCGUCCACAUUUGGAGAAGAGAAGGGGCUCAAACUAUAAAUUUACCAAACUAUGUUGAGUGGAAGCCCAAUGCAAACUUGUGAAGAGUAAAAGAUUUAUCAAAACUCUUAGACAGCUAAAAGAACCGUUGUUGUUUUUUUUUUAAGGUUAUUUAUUUUAAAGAGACAGAAAGCACAAGUUGGGGAGAGGCAUAGACAGAGGGCAAGAGAGAGAAUCCCAAACAUGCUCCUCACUGUCAGUGCAGAGCCCAAUGCAGGGUUCGAACCCAUAAACCAUGAGAUCAUGACCUGAGCCAAAGUCAGACACUUAACACACUGAGCCACCCAGGCACCCCGUUCAGCACUUCUUGUUGGACUGUGCUCAGUUCUUUAUAUGCUCGCCACAGUCCUGUGAUCUGGAAAAUAUUAUUAGCCCUUUUUUUUACGGAUCAGGAAACUGAGGUUUGGAGAAGUUAAAUUAAUUUUACUGAGAUCGAGGGGACAAUAUGUUUCAGGUUUAAAAGAACCGUUUUUAAUUUUAAACUCUCAUACAAUAUAAAUUAACCUUAUCCUUGACAACCUUUUGUCCUAAAGCUACAAAAGAAUCAUGUUGCCAUGAAUUUGAAAGUCUUCAUAGAGGUGUUGGAUACUGGCCUAAUUGUUGGUGUAAGCGUGUUGCCGGGCAAACCGCCCCUUAGUCUAGGAUGCUGUCGGAAUGAAGUCUCACUUCUGUCCUUUUCUAAUUUCUCUUCUUAGACACCUGUUUUCCUCCAUGAUUGUAGGAAAGCUCACCCAGGAUCAUCUGUGGCUCGGAGAACCAGUUUACAAGAGUCCAGAGGCUCUCUUGCUGCAUGACCUUGCUUCUGUGCGACAUGGUCGUCAACGUCAUGUUCUGGAGGAAAACUGGCACCACUGCCCAGAGAGAUGAGCAAGGAAUUAAAGGAGACUGUGGGAUUCCUACUCUGGAGAAAUAUGUACCUACUCUCAGACUUGGAACAACCUUUAUGGAGUCCUUCCAACAUUAACAAGCAGGUGAAGCUUUUACCCAGCCUCCUCUGUUCUCACGUAGCAGGUCACGGCUCUCAUCAGCGGGCAGGACCCCAUUGGGUAAAUGGUAAACUUCCACAGGUUUUAGUAACUGAUCUGUUAUCUACCUCCUCCCUUGCUUGCCUCUUGCUUAUCCUUCCUACCUCUCAGCAUGACCAACAAGCACGGUACAGCCCUCUGCUUGGCCCAGCUUCCUUAGGCUUCCAGUAG